rnacentral:rRNA from 1 species
UACCAGCACCCCCGAGUGGUCGGGACGUUUUAUUGGGCCUAAAGCAUCCGUAGCCGGUUCUACAAGUCUUCCGUUAAAUCCAACUGCUUAACAGGUGGGCUGCGGAAGAUACUAUAGAGCUAGGAGGCGGGGAGAGGCAAGCGGUACUCGAUGGGUAGGGGUAAAAUCCGUUGAUCCAUUGAAGACCACCAGUGGCGAAGGCGGCUUGCCAGAACGCGCUCGACGGGUGAGGGAUGAAAGCUGGGGGGAGCAAAGCCGG